UUAGAUUCGCCGCGAAACGGUCACACUGUGGCACUGCUUCAACAUAAAGUGUGAAAAUUUGUGGAAAUAUUGCAACUAGUACAGCGAUCUAAUCGAUUCGGGAGCAAAAACCAGCCCCCCCAGCAAAGCGCCCGCGUGUUCCACCAGAUCCGAGGAUGCAGAGAUCCACAGAGCGGAUACGGCGGCUCAAGAAGCUGAAGAGCGUUACGGCAACGCAGGAUGGUGGCGGUGGCGGUGGCGGAGGCGAUGGUGCGGCGACGGCGGAAAACCGGACUUCCGAGUCGUCGGACACAAAUGGAGGAGCUGCCAGCGGAUCGGGCGGCAAGGAUCCCGGCUCCCUCAAUCUGGACAUCUUCAAGCACUUCGACAAAUCCGGACGGAGCGAAUUCCUGAAGUACCUCAAGCAGGAGCUGCAGGAUGCGACGGAUACGCCCGUCUACGACCAGAACGGGGAGUUCAAGCAGGGCAUCUCCCAUGCCAUUUACCAGCUCCUUUGGCAGGCCCUGCGCCACACCCACAAGAAGGACCUGGUGCUCCAUCUGCUCCUGGAAGUCGUGGCCCUCCAUGCGGACUUUCCCAGCCUUAUAGUGGACGUAAUAAACAUUCUGGACAGUGAAACCUCUCUCAUUACUGAUGACUUUCAAGAGGUGCGACAUGCCUUCGUGCAACUGGUCAAGGACUUGGACAAGGUGGUUCCAGAAAGUCUGCUGAAGGAGCGAUUGGAAAUCGAUACGCUGCAGGAGGCGGGAAUUGUCAAGAACAAGAGCUUCUACUCUAAGUUCAUCAAGGUCAAAACCAAGUUGUACUACAAGCAGCGUCGCUUUAACCUUUUCCGUGAGGAGAGCGAAGGCUUUGCCAAGCUUAUUACAGAGCUCAAUCAAGAAUUUGACGAGAAUACUACGCCAGAGAGCAUUAUGGACAUCAUUAAAUCCCUUAUAGGCUGCUUCAACCUGGAUCCCAAUCGCGUUCUGGACAUUAUUAUCGAGUCAUUUGAGACCCGACCAGAUCGCUGGAACUUAUUUAUUCCCCUGCUGCGCAGCUACAUGCCCACCGGUGCCAUAAUUUGCGAGGUCCUCGGGUACAAGUUCUGCCACUUUAAGGACUCCCGGACGCCCCGCUCCUUAUAUCAUGUUUGCGCCCUUUUGCUAAAGCACGGCGUCAUUGCGCUUAACGAUGUCUAUGUGUGGUUGACUCCAAACGACGGAAGCAUCAAGGCAGAUUGGGAAGAGGAGUUGGCGGAUGCCAGGGAAAUGGUGCGCAAGCUCAACCUCAUCCAAACCAAUAAGAAGGAUGACGAAAAGGAUCCCCCACCGCCGCCCUCGGUUAAGAAAUUUAAUGAGGAAAAAUACAAUGCCAAUCAAAAGUUUGGUCUCUGCGAGGCUCUACUUAAAGUUGGUGACUGGGAGAACGCCUACAAGAUCAUCCAGAAGCUCCCGGAGCAGGCUGUAGUACUUCAGGAACCUAUUGCACGUGCGAUUGCUGAUCUGAUUCACCUGUCCGUGGAGAACAUCUACUAUAAGAAGUGCUUUAAAGCACCCGCCGGAAGGAGACAGAGUCGAAAUCGCUUGUACGACGAUACCAAGUUGUUGGCCAAGAUGCAGGCAAAGGAGUUCAGCGAUUUGCGGAAGUACACCUGGCCGAUGGCUAAUGUCUUGGGACCCGCCAUGCACUACGAUACAGUGCUGAUGUACAAGUUAAUACGCAUUAUGCGAAAAUUAGUAGUGGAGAUGGGCGUGGAUAGCUUGAAUGGACCACCUCCAAAUUCGGAGGCAGAGCAGCACUACUAUGACAUUAUGAGCUCGCUAGACGCCUGCAUUCUACCCUCUCUUCUCUACCUGGACAACAACUGCUCGAUGUCCGAGGAGAUUUGGGCGGUGCUCAAGUAUUUCCCGUACCAUUUCCGUUACAGUUUGUAUGCACGUUGGAAGAACGAUAGCUACCAGCUGCAUCCGAAUUUGAUUAGGCGGUGUGGAUUGGCUCAGCGGGAUAUCAAGGCGCUGAUGAAGCGAGUAAGCAAGGAGAACGUGAAACAGCUGGGUCGCCUGGUUGGCAAGUACAGCCAUUGUGCCCCAGGACUGCUGUUCGAUUAUAUCCUAUUGCAAAUACAAAUCUAUGACAAUCUCAUCGGGCCCGUCUGUGACAUGCUCAAGUAUCUUACUGCCCUGUCCUUUGACUGUCUGGGCUACUGCAUCAUCGAGUCCCUGACGAUAACGGGUCGUCUCAGGUUCAAGGAUGAUGGCACCUCUUUAUCCUUGUGGCUUCAAAGCUUGGCCUCCUUCUGCGGCACCAUUUACAAAAAGUACAGCAUCGAGCUGAGUGGAUUGCUGCAAUAUGUGGCUAAUCAGCUGAAGUCACAGAAGAGCCUGGACCUACUCAUAUUGCGGGAGAUUGUGCACAAGAUGGCGGGUGUGGAGUCCUGUGAGGAGAUGACAAAUGAUCAGUUGCAGGCCAUGUGUGGUGGGGAACAGCUCAGGGGAGAGGCUGGUUACUUUAGCCAAGUGAGGAAUACGAAAAAGUCGUCUAAUCGCUUGAAGGAGGCCUUGGCCAACAAUGAUCUCGCCGUGGCCAUUUGCCUAUUGAUGGCCCAGCAAAAGCACUGCGUAAUUUAUCGCGAGACGGCGGCGCAAAGUCAUUUAAAGUUGGUGGGAAAUCUCUAUGAUCAGUGCCAGGACACCCUUGUCCAGUUUGGUACCUUCCUAGGGUCCACUUAUUCGGUUGAUGAGUACGUGGAGCGGUUGCCCUCUAUUAUAACCAUGCUGCGGGAGUACCACAUCAAUACAGAUGUGGCUUUCUUCCUGGCUAGGCCCAUGUUCACUCAUCAAAUCAAUCAAAAAUACGACCAACUGCGCAAGGCUGAUCCGAACGCCAAGAAGCUGACCACGACCCAAAAGCUGCAAAAGUAUUUGGAGGCCACGCAGCUGAUCAUGAACCCGAUCGUGGAGUCUGUUCGACCACUGCACAGCGCCAAGGUUUGGGAGGACAUCAGUCCGCAGUUCCUGGUAACCUUUUGGAGUCUGAGCAUGUACGACCUGCAUGUUCCGAACGACAGCUAUCAGCGGGAGAUUGGAAAGCUGAAACAGCUGGCACAGCAGGCGGCCGAGGGCAAGGACUCGAACCAAUCUAAGAACAAGAAGGAACAGGAGCGGUACAUCGCGCUAAUGGAGAAGUUGAAUGACGAGCGCAAGAAGCAGCACGAGCACGUGGACAAGAUCUCGCAGCGGUUGCAGGAGCAGAAGGAUAGUUGGUUCCUGCUUCGAUCCGCCAAGUCGGCCAAGAACGACACAAUCACGCAGUUCCUGCAGCUCUGCCUUUUCCCGCGUUGCACCUUUACUGCUCUGGAUGCACUGUACUGCGCCAAGUUCGUGCACGCUAUACACAACCUCAAGACUUCAAACUUUUCUACCUUGCUCUGCUACGAUCGGAUCUUCUGCGACAUCACUUAUUCGGUUACUUCGUGCACAGAGGGCGAGGCGACGCGGUAUGGUCGCUUCCUGUGCGCCAUGUUAGAGACUGUGAUGCGAUGGCAUGCGGAUCAGGCUGUUUUCAACAAAGAGUGCGCCAACUAUCCUGGUUUCGUGACCAAGUUCCGUGUGAGCAAUCAGUUCUCAGAGGCUAACGAUCACGUUGGUUACGAGAACUACCGCCAUGUGUGCCACAAGUGGCACUACAAGAUCACCAAAGCGAUAGUCUUUUGCUUGGACUCGAAGGACUUCAUGCAGAUCCGAAAUGCACUAAUCAUCCUGAUGCGAAUCCUGCCUCACUAUCCGGUCCUUGCCAAACUGGCUCAAAUCAUCGAGCGUAAGGUGGACAAGGUGCGCGAGGAGGAGAAGACAAAACGGCCGGAUCUGUAUGCCAUUGCCUCUAGCUACAUUGGCCAGCUGAAGCUGAAGACUCCGCACAUGCUGAAGGAGAGCGAUUUCCAUCAGAUGGCCGAGAGGUCCAGCAAGGAGUCGCCAGCCAGUGCUGGUGCACCUAGCACUCCCAUUAAAGUGGAGAAAUUAUCGCCAACUUCGCCACCGCUGCAUACACAAGGAGCGAAGGGGACCAGCGGAGCUGCUCCCUUUUAUAGCAACGAACAGAAGUCUGGCACCAAGGAGCCAGAGGCUAAACCAGCUCCCCUCCGCGAUUCGAAGAGCAUUAAAAGCGAGGGCAACAGCGUCACUUUGGUGUCUACAACGACCUCAGCGGCAUCCAACAUCGAUCGUGAGAGCAAGCAACGUGAUUUGCCUGCGCCACGGGAAUCCCAAUCCCGCAGCAAGGACGAGCAGCUAGAGCAGACAAACAACGGUAGCAAUGGCAGCAGACAGAGCGAAAGCCGCAAUCGGGACGUGGAGCGUGACAGGCAGGAUCAGCACGAGCUGCGUCACGGGAGCAUUAGUAGUCAUCGCAGCUCCAGGGAUACGGUGAGGGUCAAGGAACGAACAGAAGCCGAACAGCACCAGCGGUCCCGGGAGCGCUCCCAGCGCCUGGAUGAGUUGGAAGCACAGCAGCGGAAGCGCGAGAAGACAUCGCGCCGCGGCGGUGAAGAGCGCAAUCGGCACGGAGAUGGCGUCGAGACGGUGGAUCUGGUUGGCAACACUGAUAAUCGCCACUACGAGGAGUUUGAGGGACGUAUGAGAGAUCUCAGCUCCGUAUCCAACGAAAGCAACGGUUCAAUGCAGCAUCGGCAACGUAGCCAUGAGACCAUUGAAUACGAAAAAGUAGAUUCAAAGCGUCGCAAAUUGGAAUCGUCAACCAGCAGUUCAAAGGUUAGUAGCAUAUGGUUGCAGACAUAAGUACGCUAAGACAACAACAAUAUAAAACAACACUACGAUGGCGAUCAAAUCUGGAGGGCAAAUACACGAAGUUCUGAUUGAGCCAGGGAGACAUAAACCGAUUUGCAACACCAACUUCUACUCUGCGACUCCAAAUUCAACCAACCAACAACGAACCCACCACCCUAAAAAAUAUCAAAACUUAUAUACUGAUGCUUGAUGCGGUGGACCUCGUUCUCAUCUGCAAUUCUCCUUAGUUCUAAGUAUUUAGUACACUUUGGGGUGUUAUUAUUAAGAUUAUAUAUAAGCAAAAAGUGAAACUUUUUAGACCAAUGUGACAGGAUCAUCUUUAAAAAGAAAAAAACAAUUUUUUUUUAUUCAAAUUUGUUAAGUAAUUGUAAUAGGUUAAGAGUAGUUAUUUAAUUAACGGACCGAAGUCAAGAAUUGGGACCAUGAAGACGACAAUCGCUGGAAGAGCCGAGGAUAAUCGAUCGAGGAAGAAGUUUACGUCAUAGGAAUUAUUGGAAAACCCCCUUGAGUUUAAAGGAAGAAGAAAUCAACGGUAUUUAUUCUGGAUGCUGACUGAAUCUACAAAGGAAAAAAAUGAAGGCAAAUCAUCAAGCAACAUCAUCAAAAACCACAAUUGCCCUACGUAACAACAAAAGUCUUCAAUAUAUUGUGAAAAUUUCCACAAAAUUAAUGAAGUAUAUAUAUGCUAAAAAACCCAACAAAAAUAAUGGAAUUCUGGAAAAAUGUUCUUGAAUUAUCAUCACUUUGCUACCUUCUGAUGGUCAAACAGUUAAACUCGAAGGGCUGAACGUUAAAAAAUCUGAAUCGAAAUCUACAAAUCUUUCGAACUGGAAGUCUACCUUUUUUGGAGCCUUUAGAAGACGAACAUCUGCAGUAAAAAUUUCAUCUGGAUUUAAUAACAGCGUUUAAUGAACUGGAGUGACUUAAAACAAAUACUGGAUAAACUUAUAGUUUUACACUUGGAAUCAUUGAACUGGAGUGCCAUGGAACAAAUAGUGGAAAACCCUAUAUUUUUACAUCCCGAAUCAUCCAUAAUACUAUGCACGGAUCCGAUUGACAGCUGGAAACUUGAAAUAUCAACAUUAAUAAUUGGACAACCUAUACUUUCACAUUCCGAAUCAUCAAUAACAAUGUAAACGGAUCCGAUUGACAACUGUAAAAAAUGAACUAUCAACAUUAUUAUAAGACGAUAGUGCCAUCUAAAUAUCCUAAAUGCUGCCAAACUUCGUUAAUAGUACUACAACAUCGGCUAUGCCUGCAUCCCAAAUAUCCGGAUGAAACCCAGUGGAUCUUCGACACCUCCGCGACUCUGAUUACCUACCUGCCGUUACCUGUGCAGCCCAGUUUAGUUGUUAAUACGUUGAUGUUGAGACUGCGCACUGAAGGUGGAGGAACUGGUGGACAGCGUGAAGAAGGCUCGCGGCCUCAAGACCAAGGAGCGCAACAAGGACAAGCUGUCGGAUGAGGAGCGAGACGCUCGCAAGGAUCGCAAGCUGGGGCGCAAGCGCGAUCGAACCGAAGAGU